rnacentral:sRNA from 1 species
AUGUACCGCUCGUACACUGCGGUUCUGAGCGCGCCGUGCGCACCUACUUGACGACUGCUCGU